UUUUUAAACUAACCUAAUGGUAGAAAGACGGAAUAGUGAAGUUUAAAUAAAGUUCGGUCAAAAAAGGACGAAAUUUUCCUCUUAAACCUCAGAAGUGGAUAAACUGCUGGACAGCUUCAGUCAGAGGUAUUUGAGAUGUCUGAGAUCUCAGCAAAUGAAUGGAAAUGUUCUCUGAUCAAAAUACUGGAGCAGCUUAAGAAAGAUCAGUAUGAUAAAAUGCUGGUAUACCUGGAAGAAAUCCCUAGUAGUAAGAAGGAUAUAACGAAUAUAGGACAAAUGGCUCAAGUCAUCAUUGAGCACUACAGAGAGGAGGAGUCUAUCCCUGUAAUGAGAGAUAUCAUGGAGUUGAUUCCGCGGAGAGACGCUGCUGUUCAGAAACUGCUGCGUCCGUUUUUGGAGAAACUGGAAGAAAAGGAAAACGCAAAGAAGAGGAACAGAACUGACCCAGAGGACCAGCAGGACUCUCCAGCUG